CUGCCUUGCACUUAGGGAAGGUUCACAUGCCUCAAGGAUCUCUCUCUCUCAGAUUUCUUGACUUUCCCUCAGUCUUCAGUAUAGUCCUCCUCUGUGCCUGGUGAAGACCUGUGGUAAAGUGCUGGCAGAGAGGAAGCUAAAUCACGUAAAAAUUAAGAAACAGCUCAGCGUUUCACAGCUAAUGUGGUGUGCCUGGGAAUAAUGUCACCAAUAGCAUAAGAAUUAAUGUCUACUAUGAUGCUGAAAUAAAUAAACUGGUAAAACUACUCUGCUGUCUAAAUCCCCAAGUUACAAAUUUACAGAGCUGCCGGCUUCCCCUUGAAGGAAUAGGAGUAGACCUGCUGAACUAUCACAUGAGAGAAGAGGCCCAAAAGCUUGCACACUACAGUCAAGCUGGCCCUUAAAGAGAUGGACCUAGAAGAUGCUGAGCCAGAUGUACUCAAUUACUUCUCCAAAAUUCAUCAAUUAGGAAUACAACAUGUUUAAGACCACAGAACAUCUGCAUAGGCUGUAAAUUUCGUUGAAUGAUGGAUGCAAAGAUGGAAGACAGAUGGAUAGAGGAAAAGACAGAAUCAGAUACUGGAUGAGUUAGUACUGCUGCCUGUGCUUCAGAGCUGUCUUAUUACCACAAGGCCGGCAAGCAUCAAUGUCCCCACAUCCCCCUCUGCCUCCCCCUGAAAUGUACCGAUUUAUAUGAAAAUUAAGAUUACAAAUUAAAGCCUGGCUAUCCUGGAGUUUUCCAGUUCAUCAGCCAUCCAAUAAAAAUGAUGUCAAGCCUGUAUGCAUAAUUCCCGGAAGAUUACUUUCGUCCUUACAGCUAAGCCCUGUCCCUGAUAUGAAAGAUCUCUAUCCACUUUUAUUGAAAUAAAGAACUAACAUCAUAAUCCCAAUAUUGAGGUAUAAUCUUCAUUAUCUCCUGACCCUCUUGAGGUUCCCCCAAUCUAUAUUACUUCAGAUUUGGUUUAUGUGUAAUCCUUAUGUAUUUACUUUUAUUGAGAUAGGAUUAAAAACUAAAAAAAAAGCUUCAAAAAAU
rnacentral:lncRNA from 1 species